CUCAGGUGACCCGCUGGCCUCGGCCUCCCAAAGUGCUGGGAUUACAGGCGUGAGCCACCGUGCCUGGCCCCCCCAUGCUGUUUCUAAAAGGAGGUGUAGCAGUAGUGUUUUCUCUCUUUCUUGAUCUUGGAUGAUUCAUUGGCACCCCUUAAUGAUUGGAACCCAAGGAAGUUCUCUGAGAGCCAUUUACUAGACACCAGUAUAAAUUUUAAACUCAGGAAGGAAUUGGCACUUCCAGUUGUAUUCAAUGUAUUCAUUGUUGAUGCAGGACAGCUAUAAAUAAAUGAGAUUCUGGAAUUCCUAUGAAAAUGGGAUCUCUAAGAAAGAUUCCUAACAACUGGCUUUGGAGACGAGUAAGUGUGUAUUUUCACCUUUAAGUCCAUGAGCUGCAGGGAGCCACUUCAUGGGAGGAUUUUGAUGACAUUUUACUUUGUGCAUGCUCAUUUUAACUGUAUGACAUUAAAACAGCAAUUACACAUAUCAAAAGAGAGAACGGAUAGCACUGGGGACCAAAAGGCUCACUUUCCCACAAAUAGUCCCUUCUUCUGGAUUUCAUGGGUACCCAUUAGUACCAGAAUUUCCUGGGUUUGGCUAUGGAAAGUUUCAAGUAUAUAUUACAUAUAUAUUAUAAGAUGAGGACAACUUGAAGCCACUACCUGUCGUCAGUGUGUAAGGAGGGAGGUAGUUUUUCUUGGGAGGGUGGAGGUGGGAGGUAGCCCAGGGAAAGGCAUGAAGGGCAACAGGCUGGGAGGAGGGAGGAAGUGCAGUCAGCCUUGGAACCUUAGACAGACUGAGUGCUGCAUCUGGGCACAGGCGGUCAGCCUGCACUGACUCCUGAAGGCAAAGCAAGGGAGGGGAGAAGCAUGUGGCUAAACAGAGAAGGGGAGGAUUCUAGCCAGAACACACUGUUUGCUUUUAUAAAUGCCAGGGGUGGUGCAUUGGUAAGCACCCUGCACAGAAGAAUGGGGUGGGAGGGCUGGAGGAAUACCUGGUCCAGUCCAUCCAGGAGUCCUCCCAUACCUGCAUUCCCUGCCCAUGAUGCGAUUUGAUGCUCAGCCUACAUCAAAUAACACUAUGUGCUGAAUGGGAAAUGAGAGGAAAAUACGAGGAGGCCUUAUUAUUCUUCACAAUUUUGCCUAUGUCCAAUUCCAUUCAGCAUGAUUGCUUUUGGUGCCCAGAGAAGCUGAGUUUCUAUCAAAAACAUGUAUAUAUAGGUGAGUGUAUCUGUGUGUUUGUACAUGUAUGUAUAUGUGUGUGUAUACAUGUAUAUAUAAGUAUAUGAAGAUGGUGGUGUUCCUGCUGGCAUCCUAUGGCCAACUUGACUUCAGAGUACCCAGGGGAAGGCCUGGCUGGCCGGAUGCCCUUGCAGAUGUCAGCUCCAGUGUGGACAUGGUGCAAUGACAGCCAGGGGUGUGGGAGCAUCCUGAAUGUGUCCCGUGGGAGGGCAGGGCCUCUGAAAGGGUCCUACUCAGGAUAUGUCUCCUGAAAGCCACCAGGGGGUGGAGAGAGAAGUAGGAGCCCAACAAUGGCUCCAUCCCUGCUCUGCUUUUGGCGGUUGUAUAACAUCCCUGAGUCCCAGAUUAUUUGUCUAUCAAAAGGACAAAUGAGGUGGCUCAUGCCUGUAAUCCCAUCACUUUGGGAGGCCAAGGUGGGCAGAUCAUUUGAGGCCAGGAGUUCGAGACCAGCCUGGCCAACAUGGUGAAACCCCAUCUCUACUAAAAAUACAGAAAUUAGCCAGGUGUGGUGGUGCAUACCUGUAAUCCCAGCUACUCAGGAGGCUGAGGCAGAAGAAUCUCUUGAACUUGGGAGGUGGAGGUUUCAGUGAGCCAAGAUCACACCACUGCACUCCAGCCUGGGCAGCAGAGUAAGACUCCAUCUAAAAAAAAAAAGAGAUAACAAUAUCCCCUUUGCAGAAUGGUGAUGGGCAUCAGACAUGACAUAUGUAACAUGUCCCAUGCACGGAAGGGUGCUCCAUGACUGCAAACCUGGAUGAUGAUGACAACGACGAUGGAGAUGACUAAGACUGUAUUUAAAAAUGGGAAUUGCUGUUGUUUCCUGGCUUCCUGAUGGUCCUGUUUUUUACCUUCUGCUGCUUUUUACGGAUUUAUUUUUUGAUGGUGCAAGACAGGCUGGCAGGGGUGCAGGCUAGAGGACUGAAUAAGCGAUGGAUCUGUCAAUCCAAGGCACUUAAUAGAAGAUUGGAUUCCCAUUAAGGGAGCAGAUGAAAGACAGAAAGACAGAAGGACACAGCCCCUCUCACCUUCACCUAAGAGAGGGAUAAAUGUCAGCUGAGAGAACGUGGGUAAAGGUGACAAACGCUCCCUUCACUGAUCAGCAGCUGUGUGACCUUGGUCAGCUCACCAAACCUCUCUGUGCUUUAGAGCACCGAGAAGGAAUAAAACCUGCCCUGUGUUUACCUUGCCUCCCUGGAAGAUUUGUGAUGAGAAUAAAGUCUAAAAAUACUUUGAAAAAUACACCGCACCCUACAAGCUCCAUCAUAACUGGUGUUUCCAGAAAUGCAAACAUAUUUCCUGCCUAACUCAGCCGUGUUUCUGAUCUCUUGUAGCUUGACUGAUUCGUACCUUUUUGAGCAAUGGGAACCUUUGGUGGUGUAAAGCCUAGAAAAGACUCGCAACAAUAUUAAAAAAUGUGUAUGACACACAUGGUAUGUCGGAAGAAACCCAACCAUAUCUGUGUUUGCAACAACUGCAGUGUACCAUGAAGAUGACUGGAGUUCUAUGGCAACAACAUUGCAAGCACUGCUAAACCCACUGUGGUUUCUUGCCUACAUUCCUAGCCAAAGUCAACACUAAAUUUCUGUUAGAGGUGAUGAAAAUAAAAGUUUAUUUUUCCCCAUCUAUGCUCAUAUAGUCCUCCCCCAAAUUCCAUCUAUGGACUUUUGGGAGAUCCAUGGACCCCAGGUUAGGAAUGUUAGAAUUAGAUGCAUUAUUUCUUUAUAGGUAUAGAUAAGGAAAAGAUUAGAAGGAUCAACUGAUCUGGCCAUUAACUAGUUCAAAUACUAAGGAG
rnacentral:lncRNA from 1 species